rnacentral:rRNA from 1 species
AUUGAACGCUGGCGGCAGGCUUAACACAUGCAAGUCGAACGAGUGGCGGACGGGUGAGUAAUGCUUGGGAAUCUAGCUUAUGGAGGGGGAUAACUACGGGAAACUGUAGCUAAUCCCGCGUACCAUAGGAUGUGCCCAAUUGGGAUUAGGUAGUUGGUGAGGUAAAGGCUCACCAAGGCGACGAUCCCUAGCUGGUCUGAGAGGAUGACCAGCCACACGGGGACUGAGACACGGCCCAGACUCCUGAGGGAGGCAGCAGUGGGGAAUAUUGCGCAAGGGGGGAAAGGUGACGCAGCCAUGCCGCGUGAAUGAAGAAGGCCUUAGGGUUGUAAAGUUAUUUCGGUAGCGAGGCGUUAACAAAAGAAGAAGCACCGGCUAAAUCCGUGCCAGCAGCCGCGGUAAUUC